rnacentral:rRNA from 1 species
GGCAGACCGCGAACGCGUGCCUAACGUCGGUGCCGCGGCUCCGGCCGCGGCGCCCGCCCCCCCGCGGUCAUAUAUGUAUAUAGACGCGGGKGGCCAACGAACCCCGGCGCGGAACGCGCCAAGGAAAACCGAAACGAAGCGCCCUCCCCCGCCCGUGCCCCKUCCGCGGUGCGCCYGGGCGGGGGGAAAGGCCGCGCCUCACGUAUGUGUCAAAACGACUCUCGGCAACGGAUAUYUCGGCUCUCGCAUSGAUGAAGAACGUAGSGAAAUGCGAUACUUGGUGUGAAUUGCAGAAUCCCGUGAACCAUCGAGUCUUUGAACGCAAGUUGCGCCCGAAGCCUUCGGGCSGAGGGCACGCCUGCCUGGGCGUCACGCAUCGCGUCGUCCCCCUCCCCCGUCGGGCGGGGGGCGGAGACUGGCCUCCCGUGCGCCUCCGUCGCGCGGCCGGCCCAAAUGCGAUCCCCCGGCGGCGCCCGUCGCGACCAGUGGUGGUUGAAUUCGAGGACUCAACUCGCGUGCUGUYAGUCGUGCGGAGCGGCGUCGUCCGGCCAGGGCGACCCGAUCGGCGCCUCGGCGCUUUCCGACCGCGACCCCAGGUCAGG